ensembl:lincRNA
CCGGAAGCAGCCUGGCGUAGGCUGGAGCGUGGGGGAGGCGCCGGGUCUCUGAGAUUUAGUGACCGAACUGCCCGCGCGGAGAGGACUGGCGGCGGAGAACUGCAGCAAGAGCAGGAAACCCACGGGACCGCGGACGUGCGCGAGGCUCGAGGCCGCGCUGCACCGAGGAGCGCCGUGCGGUCACUUCCGGCCUGCGGGGGGACUUUUUAAAGGAAUAGCGGGUAUUUCCGAAGCCAUGGGGGCAUCGCCACGCCGCGGUGUCGCCGCUAGGGCUGGGGCUUCUGUGAGUUCUAAUGAUUCUGCCGUACGUGCUUUGCUCUAAUUGUCAACUGUUUUGUCAAGUCCGCGUUGGCUCCAAGAGAGACCUUCCCUGAAGUUUUCAGUGCCCGCGGAGUGGACAGCCCCGGCGGAGCAUCUGACCGCCCGCUCCCCGGCUCCCGCUGUAGCAAGCAUCGGGCGUACUUGUCAUUCACGUCGAUGAUGCUGUUUUCCUUAGAGAUCCGAGUGUACAAAUGGACUGAUGCUGCAAAGUCCGUGGGUGGGGUUGGGGUGGGGAGAGUACUUCUGCCUGCCGGGUCUUCAGAGAUGAGUUUACAUUUCGAUGAGUAGUAGCGCUGACAAGCCACGUCUUGCAAGGGCGGUUGCAUUUGACCGAAUGGCACAGGUUCCCUUCACCGAUAUGAGCUCGGGCAGCAUUCAUCAUCUGGAGGGGGAUCUUUCCAUAUCUACCUCUCCUUUCUACUGUUCGAAGUGUAAAUUCAUCUCAGGUUAUUGAGUUUUCAGUACUUUGAUUGUAUCCAAAUGGAAGCAUUCAAGUAUGAUAUUGUCUAGCAGUAAAUUUACUUAAAAAAAAAAAAAAACUGACCCUGUGGACUAUCACAUGAGUUAUAAAUAUCCAAGGUAAAAGAGUGAACAGAGAGUUGCAGGAGGACUAAGAAACACGAGGAAACAUGAGUAACCGUGAUAACGGUUAUAAUUUGCUUUAAAGAUCAUUUACAUUUUCUUUUAAAAUUUCCUGUGUAUGAGUUCUUUGCCUGGAUGUAUGUCUAUUCACGAUGUGCUAGAGCAACCAGAGCUCUUAACCACUGAGCCAUUUCUCCAACCCCCAAAGAGUAUAUAUUUGCCUUUUGAGAGAGAACAGUUUUUAGUCGUUUUUGUCAUUUCCAUGGAUGUGGAAAAUUAAAAUUCCAAUUUAUUUCUUGGCUAUUUUACUAGGGAAUCUAACUUAAUAAAAUGGAUGUUCUGUUGAAUCUACAGGUCAUACAUUGGGAUAAGAUAGUUACAAAAGCGCAGUUACCACCUCGAUGUACUUUAAUGUUAGUCAUUAAAAUUCUCUGAGUGGUGUGGAAAAGUAAAUACCGUACACAUCAAAGAAGGGGCUCUUGGGACCUAGGAGGGGUGGGGCAAGGCUUAAACAGACACCUUUCAGUCUCAGGCUUAGUCUGGAGGACAUCAAGUUCUUGUCUGUAGUUUUAAAGGUUAAGAUUAUUUUCUUUGCUGUGGGAAAGAAUAGUGUUAUUUUUUUUUAGUUUAGUUUUUUUUUUUGUUUGUUUUUCAAAAAAGAAAAAUGAGUCACCAUAUAGUUUGUGGGACUUGGAGAGAGAGAUCAAAAUGUCACUUGCACUUGACAGUCAGUAUGGAGUAAAAGGCUUUGAAACCCAUGGAAGUCUGGGCACAUGCGCUCCUCACAUUGAGGGCAGUAGUGUCCACGUGCAGUCUUUUGCAAUAUCAUUUGUUGUAAGAAAUUGUUUUAAAACCAUGUGACAGAUUAUAAAAUAGAUGCUCAAUAAAUGCGUAUGUUCUAAAGUAAUAAAGCAUAAUAAAGAAAGCAAACACUCAGGAAUCUAUGACUGAUACUAAGAUCUAGAAUGUAGAAUGUGGAUGUGUGUGUGAGUGCGGGUGCCUGUGGAGGCAGAGGACAUGGGACCCUCUAGAGCUGGAGUUAAAACUGGUUGUGCGCCAUUAACUGUGGGACUCAGCCCUGCAUCUGCUUCUACAAUAUAGUUUAUCAUUACAUCAUACGCGCAGUGUUUUAAGGUUUUCAACUAGCUUCACUAAUUUGUGAUUGUGUUUCUAGCAUUCCAAGCCAUGGCCUGUUUUGUCAGCUCUUUUCACCGAUAUAUAAUACUUCACUACGAAUAGACUGUAUUUCUGUGUCUGGUUCCUUGAUAAUGGCCAUUUGAAUUACCCCCCAACAUUUUGUUAUACAAUAUUAAACAGGCAUACCUUUCAGUUAUACCGCAGCCAUUAUGAAGAGUACUUUCCUAUUUUGACAGAUAAGUAUUCCAUUAAAAUUGACUAAUAAAUGAUGCUAUAAUUAAGGUUUUUAAUUGAAAACCUUAGAACAGUGCCUAGCAAGUGAUACUUACUCAGUAAAUAGUGGUCAUCAUUUUAACAUAUAGUAUUUAAAUCAGUUCAGCUUUUAACGCUACUCACCCUUGUCUCAAGUAGUGCUGGUAAAUUAUAGGCUUGACUAUAUAUAGCAUUAUGUUCAAUAUCUGAUACAGCUUUUAUAGGCUUCUUUUAUGUUUUUAAUUUUUAGUUACCUGUGUGUGUGUGUGUGUGUGUGUGUGUGUGUGUGUAUCUGUGUUGGGGAAUGUGACUGUCAGUACAGGCACCUGUGGAGGCCAGAAGAGGAGAUCAGAUCCCCAGGAGCUCUGUCUCAGUCCUUUGGAUACUAUUUGUGAAUACUACUGCCAUGAACAAUAUGUAUAUAUACUUGUUUUAGUACCUAUUUCAACUGUUGGGGGGCGGGGAAGGGGUGCAAUUGCUUAGCUUAAUGAAAAGUUUAUAUGUGACUUCUUGAAUCACCAAACUAUUUCCCAUAUUCUCGAAAUCAAUAUAAAACCUUUUAUUUACAUUCUCUCUGGCACUUGUUAUUUUCCAUUAAGAAAAGAAAACAUAUUAUUUACUAGAUUCUGCCUAGGAAGGAGACCAUCCUGCCUUUCAUGUAUUUGAUUGAGUAGUUUGCCGGUGUGUCUGUGUGUACAUCACUUGUGUGCCUGUUCCUACAGAGAUCAUAAGAGGGUCUUGUAUCCCCAGCAACUAGACUUCAAGGUGUUGUGAAUUGCCGAGUGGGUGCUGGGAACUGAGCCUGGUGCUAUACAGGAGGAGGAAGUGUAAGUGAGCACUUGCCAUGUCUCCAUUCGUGUCACUGGUUCUCAUGAUAAUGCCCCUUACACAGAGAUUUAAAAAUCUGGUGCUGUUUUGUUUUGUUUUUGUUUUUUGUUUUUUUUUUUUGUUGUUGUUGCUUAUGCAUUAGGUGUCAUAAACUUAGAAUCCUUUACCAAUCUUCUAUCAGGCAGAUGUACUCUUGCUUUGGUCUCCAAGACUUACAUUAUUUUGGUUCUUGUUGUUCGAUUGUUGGUCCUUUUAAGUUAGUUUUUGUGUGAUGUGAGGGAGGAGUCCACACUACCUCCUAUGUAGGCAUCUGCUUCCAUCAUGGUUUGAAAAGAAUAUUUUUCCCCUCUGCAUGGUCCUGACACACUUGUCAAGUCAGCUGGCCACAGGUGAACAGAUUUGCUUCUGGGCUCUUAAUCCUACUCGGUUGAUCUGUGUAUCCGCAUGUCGGAAAUGAGCUGUGUGUAGUGUGAUACCUUCUGAGAUUGGGAAGUGUUACUCUAACUCUAAAAAAACCCCACUGUUUGGGCUCUGUGGGGCCACUUAAAUUUCUGUAUCACAUUAUGGAUGGGCUCUUUGGUUUGUUCGUAAAAGGCCUUUGGAUCUUUCAUGUUGCUGCACGGAAUUGGUAGAUAAUCUUGAAGAGCUACACUAACAUUGUUAGGUCUCUUAAUCUGGAGCAAUCUAUUAAAAUCUCUAAAUUCCUUCAGUGCAGUUCCAUAGCUUUAGAUGUCUUUGGUUUAUUUUUAAAAUUUUUGUUAUUUUGGAUAUUACUGCACAUGAAUUUUCCACUUAAUUUUUUUAAGAAUGUUUAUUACUGGUGUAUAAAAAUACAACUGAUGUUACACCGAGAAAACAGCAACAACAACAACAACAAAAUACUGAUGUUUUCCCUGUUGACUGUAUGGCCUAUAACUUUGCCAGUUAACAUAGUAGAGGUGUGUGUGUGUGUGUGUGUGUGUGUGUGAAUUUUCAAUAUACCAUUUGUAAAUACAGAUAGAUUUAAUUUUAUUGUUAGUUUAUGUGACUUUUUAUUUUUAUAGCCUAAUUUCUCUGUCUAGAGCUCCAAUACAUUGUUCAUAAGAAAUGGAAAAAUAAUGUUUUAUUUCUGAUUUGGGGGUGAAUUUUUGUCCCAUUAAAUUAUAUUGUUAGCUUUUCAUGUAAAUCUCUUUCCAUACCAAAGAGAUUUCCUUCC